AUGUCGGCGCCAUCGCAGCUAAGCAAGGACCCGCACAACGAUUACUUCGACUUUGGGGCAGCGCGGCAGGUGCCGGAAACCCACACGUGGGAGGGGCUGUACGAGCACCCGCUGGUGGACGGCGGCGUCGGGGCCGCGGAGGACGCCGUGCCGGUGGUGGAUUUGCGGGACCCACAUGCAGCCGAGGCGGUGGCGCGUGCGUCGGAGCAGUGGGGAACGUUCCUGCUCGAGGGCCACGGCAUUCCGAGCGAGCUGCUCGCGCGCGUCGAGGCCCGAAUUGCUAGCGUGUUCGCGUUGCCGGCGUCGGAGAAGAUGCGCGCCGCGCGGCAGGACGGCCAGUCCCACGGCUAUGGACUGCCACCCAUCGCCUCCUACUUCCCCAAGACCACGUGGUCUGAGGGCUACACCUUGUCCCCGGCCAACCUCCGAGCCGAGCUCCGCAAGAUCUGGCCCGACGCCGGCGGGGACUACCGCCACUUCUGUGACGUGAUGGAGGAGUUCCACAGGCAGAUGCUAGCGGUGGUUGACAAGCUGACGGUGUUGUUCCUCGCAGCGCUCGGGGUCGCCAGCGUCGAGGCGGGGCGCAAGAUCGUGGAGACCAUGUCCGAGACCGUGACCAUGCACAUCAACUGGUACCCCAAGUGCCCUGACCCGAAGCGAACACUGGGCCUGGCGAUUCACACGGACUCGGGGUUCUUCACGUUCCUGAUGCAGAGCCACGUUUCUGGGCUGCAGCUGUUCCGGCACGAGCCAGACAGGUGGGUUGGGGUGCCACCCGGGGCACUCAUCGUCAACAUCGGCGACCUCUUCCAGAUCCUCACCAACGGCCGCUUCCGCAGCACAUACCACCGCGCCGUCGUCAACCGCGAAAGCACCCGGGUGUCCGUGGCCUACCAUCUCGGCCCGCCCGCCGACGCCAAGGUAGCGCCCCUCAGGGAAGCCGUGGGCGGCGGCAAGCCCGCCUACCGCACCGUCACGUGGCGAGAGUACUUCCUUGUGCGCAAGGAGGCCUUCACCACCGGCGGCUCCGCGCUCCAGAUGGUCUCCCUCAGCCCGGGUGACCACGACGACGAUGGUGAUGGCGCCGACCAAAUAAGUGAAAUCUCUUCAUAG
rnacentral:rRNA from 1 species